CGCGUAGGUGGUAGUGUAAGUCUGGGGUGGAAUGCCGGGGCUUAACCCUGGAAUUGCCUUGGAAACUGCAUUACUUGAGUCAGUGAGGGGAGGGUAGAAUUCCUGGUGUAGCGGUGAAAUGCGUAGAUAUCAGGAGGAAGGCCUGUGGCGAAGGCGGCCCUCUGGUGCUGGACUGACACUGAGGCGCGAAAGCGUGGGGAGCAAACAGGAUUAGAUACCCUGGUAGUCCACGCCCUAAACGGUGGGCACUAGGUGUAGGGCUCGUAAGGGUUCUGUGCCGAAGCGAAAGCAUUAAGUACCCCGCCUGGGGAGUACGGCCGCAAGGUUGAA
rnacentral:rRNA from 1 species